rnacentral:rRNA from 1 species
UACGUAGGGUGCGAGCGUUAAUCGGAAUUACUGGGCGUAGAGCGUGCGCAGGCGGUUUUGUAAGCCAGAUGUGAAAUCCCCGGGCUUAACCUGGGAAUGGCAUUUGGGACUGCAUGGCUAGAGUGUGUCAGAGGGGGGUAGAAUUCCACGUGUAGCAGUGAAAUGCGUAGAUAUGUGGAGGAAUACCGAUGGCGAAGGCAGCCCCCUGGGAUAACACUGACGCUCAUGCACGAAAGCGUGGGGAGCAAACAGG